rnacentral:rRNA from 1 species
UACAGAGGUCUCAAGCGUUGUUCGGAUUCAUUGGGCGUAAAGGGUGCGUAGGUGGCGCGAGGAGUCUGUGGUGAAAGCCCGAGGCUCAACUUCGGGUCGGCCGCGGAUACUCUCGUGCUGGAGGGUGGUAGAGGCCAAUGGAAUUCCGGGUGUAGCGGUGGAAUGCGUAGAGAUCCGGAAGAACACCGGUGGCGAAGGCGGUUGGCUGGGCCACACCUGACACUGAGGCGCGACAGCGUGGGGAGCAAACAGG